UGGCCUAUGAGGAUAAAAAUUAUCUUAGCGGAUUUCAGUGAGAUUUUUUUGAAUCAAUGAUCUGAAUUGUUACACACACUGAGGCUC
rfam:Eutrema salsugineum unplaced genomic scaffold scaffold_13, whole genome shotgun sequence.